UACGGGGGGGGGUAAGCGUUGUUCGGAAUUACUGGGGCGUAAAGGGCUCGUAGGCGGCCAACUAAGUCAUACGUGAAAUCCCUCAGCUUAACUGGGGAACUGCGUGUGAUACUGGAUGGCUUGGAUUUGGGAGAGGGAUGCGGAAUUCCAGGUGUAGCGGUGAAAUGCGUAGAUAUCUGGAGGAACACCGGUGGCGAAGGCGGCGUUCUGGACUGUAUCUGACACUGAGGAACGAAAGCCAGGGGAGCAAACGGGG
rnacentral:rRNA from 1 species